UACAGAGGGUGCGAGCGUUGUUCGGAAUUACUGGGCGUAAAGCGCGUGUAGGCGGCGGGAUAAGUCGCAUGUGAAAGCCCUCGGCUCAACCGAGGAAGUGCAUGCGAUACUGUUUCGCUUGAAUGCCGGAGGGGAUGGCGGAAUUCCCGGUGUAGAGGUGAAAUUCGUAGAUAUCGGGAGGAACACCUGUGGCGAAGGCGGCCAUCUGGACGGCGAUUGACGCUGAGACGCGAAAGCGUGGGUAGCAAACAGGAUUAGAUACCCUGGUAGUCCACGCUGUAAACGAUGAGUGCUAGACGUCGCGGGUAUUGACCCCUGCGGUGUCGAAGGUAACCCGUUAAGCACUCCGCCUGGGGAGUACGGUCGCAAGAUUAAA
rnacentral:rRNA from 1 species